rnacentral:lncRNA from 1 species
ACUUCCGAUUCCAGGAGGAGUGGAGAAAGAGACAAGAAGAGAGGUCCAGGAAGCAUUGGGAGAAGUGAGCUGGAAAAAGAAAUGACUAAAAAAAAUAUCCCAAGGAAAUGGAAUGCUUUGUCACCACAUUAUAGGACUUACGAGAAGUAGUUGGGCAUAGAGGCUUAUGCCUGUGACCUCUGCACUUCGGGGACUGAAGCUCCAGGCCAUGAAUUAUGAACCUGCAGGAAGCAAUCAGUGAGCCUGGGGUGGCCAUGGAGGGGCCAAAGACAUAUACUUCUGCAAAGAAAGCCAAGGAAAAAAAGAACUUUGCUUCAUGGCCGCCUCUCUUGCCUGAGUGUCAGCUGUUUGACAUCUUUCCACUCCUCCGAGCAACACAGAAGAACAUGGCUCUCUCAGAAGACGAACCGGGCAUCCUCCCAAAACUGUCACAAAAUGGCACAUCCUGCAGUAUUUACUGAUCCCCUGGGAAAUGCUAACCAGAAAUUGGGUUUGCUUCUUGACUUGUGUCUUCACAGUUGAAAACCUUCUAAAAUGGACCUGUCGCUUUGCCACACACAGACCAGGAAAACCCUAAGGGGCAAGAACUUGGAAAGAUUUCGGAUCUUUAUGAAGCACUCUGACUCAAAUUCCGACUUGAUUUCUGGAGAGACGAAGGCUGGGAGUCACUGAGUUCUCACUGACCUCUGAGCUUUGUGUGUGAUCUCAGGGGGACAUCGUUUGUGGCACAUCCCAGUGUGUACAUCUACGGCUCAUUUCCCAUUUAUAGCUGACAUGUGAACGUCAGCUACUGGGCUGGCAGUUGCCGGAAGUGUGGCACAUUUUAAAAAACACGGAGACACAGCUGCUAAAGUCACUGUUGUGUCCCUAAAAACUGAAAUGGAGUGCUCAAUGCACUGGAAGGAAGAAAACAUCAUCCUAACAGCCAUGGCCUCUCCAGGAGCCCCCAGAUCUCUGGUUCUUGUUUUGAGCAUUAGCUCUUUCCAUUAGCCAGUGUAGGCAGCCCUGACUCUAUGAUUGGGAGAAGCAACACAAAGUGAAAAUAGAGAUCUUCUGUGUGAAAGUUCCUUUGAGGUGGGAACAUUGAAGCAAGUGAGAGGUCUUUUUGAGUGUGGAGCCCCGUGCUUCUGAAGGAGUCUGACCCACGAAGAUAGCUCGAUGUACUGCCCAGAUGUGAUUGCUACGAUGAAAUACUGGAGUUAUAAUGAAAUACCGGAAACACACUCCUUAUAAAGGAAAAGAGAUUUAUUUAGCACCCAGUUUUGGAGCUCCAAGGGCAUGGCCCUCUAUAAUAUGUUCUGGUUCAAGGAAAACUGGAGAAAUAAACCCAGAGUAGACUCAACCCCGAAGGGGAACCCAGAAUAGAGCUCUCCCUGCCGACCUGCAGAUCUCAGCGGGGGAAAAGGUGAUACCGUUGUGAGCCACUGAGCCAUUUCUCACACAGCGUGCUCAAAAUAGAAACCCGGUGGAGAAGGUAUCCUUCCCAGGCAGAGGCUGAGAAAUGAGAAGAGAUGUUAGAAAAAGGCCAAUUAAUGCUAAGUAUCGAUGGUCGGUCCCCAUGUUCAAAUCCAGCCAACAGUUAUUAAAUAAGUUCACCACUAAGCUUCCUAAUUAGAAUCCAAACUGGAAUCUAGUCUGCUGUGUCUCAAAGUCCUUUCCGCAAUGGGCAGAGAACUUUGGAGCCUGCGUUUGUUAAGCUAUGACUGUAUGUUAGUGUCUGGGUAAAACACUGUCUUAUGUUUUAUUUCAAACAGUCCUUUCCAUAAUUCUGUGCUUUCAUUUCCUAACAGUAUCCCCACUUUUCGUCAUAGGAACGGAAACCCAGAGUGGGUAAGUAACUGUCAGAAGCAGUAGAGGCUGAUGACACCCCAGGCUCACACUGAAAAGCCACACCUUUUGGCCCAGUUUGUAAAAUGCUUGCCCUACAAGCAUAAGGGCCUGCUCUCAUCAAAAGCCAUGUGUGGGGUUGUAUCUAA